rnacentral:rRNA from 1 species
UAUAAGCAAUUAUACCGCGAAACUGCGAAUGGCUCAUUAUAUAAGUUAUCGUUUAUUUGAUAGCACAUUACUACUUGGAUAACCGUGGUAAUUCUAGAGCUAAUACAUGCUAAAAAUCCCGACUUCGGAAGGGAUGUAUUUAUUAGAUUAAAAGCCAACGCCCUUCGGGGCUCUGUGGUGAUUCAUAAUAACUGGUCGAAUCGCAUGGCCUUGCGCCGGCGAUGGUUCAUUCAAAUUUCUUCCCUAUCAACUUUCGAUGCGAGGGUCUUGUCCUCGCAUGGUUGCAACGGGUAACGGAGGGUUAGGGCUCGACCCCGGAGAAGGAGCCUGAGAAACGGCUACUACAUCCAAGGAAGGCAGCAGGCGCGCAAAUUACCCAAUCCCGACACGGGGAGGUAGUGACAAUAAAUACUGAUACAGGGCUCUUUUGGGUCUUGUAAUCGGAAUGAGUACAAUUUAAAUCCCUUAACGAGGAACAAUUGGAGGGCAAGUCUGGUGCCAGCAGCCGCGGUAAUUCCAGCUCCAAUAGCGUAUAUUAAAGUUGUUGUGGUUAAAAAGCUCGUAGUCGAACCUUGGGCCUGGCUGGCCGGUCCCCCUCACCGGGUGCACUGAUCCAGCCGGGCCUUUCCCUCUGUGGAACCCCAUGGCCUUCACUGGCUGUGCGGGGGAAACAGGACUUUUACUGUGAAAAAAUUAGAGUGCUCCAGGCAGGCCUAUGCUCGAAUACAUUAGCAUGGAAUAAUAGAAUAGGACGUGUGGUUCUAUUUUGUUGGUUUCUAGGACCGCCGUAAUGAUUAAUAGGGACAGUCGGGGGCAUCAGUAUUCAGUUGUCAGAGGUGAAAUUCUUGGAUCUACUGAAGACUAACUACUGCGAAAGCAUUUGCCAAGGAUGUUUUCAUUGAUAAGGAACGAAAGUUAGGGGAUCGAAGACGAUCAGAUACCGUCGNANUNUUAACUAUAAACUAUGCCGACUAGGGAUCGGACNNUGUUAUU